UAGGAAAACUGGGAAACUGUAUUGGCUCGAGUAUAAGCCUAUACUAUAUACUUGCUAUAUAAGUGAAACAGAAAGUUAUCAAAGAUCGGUGCGCUCACGAUUGAAAAAGCAAAUUGCCAGUACCUAAAACGAAAUAUAGUGUAGCUUGCUUCUUUCCAGGGGUUAAUGAAAAAUCGGAAAUGUAUUAAACACAAACAUAUAUAUUCAGAAAUAAGUAUAGGAGUCAUUCUUUUAAAAGCUCACAUAUACUUCCCCCUUCAACACAGCUCACCAUUUCUGACUGCUUUAUAGUCUUCUGUGUUGUGUCCCAGCAUAGCUCUCUACUUUGUCUCGUUUCCAGCCCUCUCCUUCUGCAGCAUGGGUCAGGUACUUCCACAGCAGAGCUCACUUCUGCCUGCACAGUCACCUUUUUCAGCCCCUCCUUCUCCAGUCUCAGUUCAGAGAUGGCCACUUUUGCCUGCAGGGUCACGUUUUCCUUUCACACAGCACAGCUACCCGCCCACUUCUCCUUCUAACCGGAUCUCAGGACAGGCAUGCAGGGAGGAUUUUGAAGUUUGAGGAGCCUUAAAUCAUGGGGGUAAGGGCUUUUUGACCUAAAAACCUAGCGUUUUGGUAGGGGCAAGCCUUAAAAAACAAAUGACAUGCUGACUCGAGUAUAAGCCGAGGUAGACUUUUUCAGCACAUUUUGAGUGCUGAAAAACUCGGCUUAUACUCGAGAAUAUACGGUAAUUGAAAAGGACUCCACUGUAAUUAUGACCUGCAAUUUGUUUUUAACUAAUAGGUGAUACAUGAGAUUUUUGAGAAUUCCUAGAAUAAAGUGGAAUAGAAUUUUUUUUAGUAUGUUUUGAUAAAUUGUUAGUGAGCACAAUGGAACUGGUGUAAGAAAUAAGCCUCACAAGGAAGAUUUUAUAUGUAUAUAAUAUUUUAUGUGUGAAUAUAAUGUCAAAUGUUAAUGCCAAAGAGACAGGUAAAAGGACACAUGCUGGGACAGGGAGUUGCCAAAACAGUUAUCUGAUAACACUGCAGUCUCUGGGAUCAAAAGAAUAGUCAUAGACAAAGACAGACCCAGGAAAGAGCCUGAGGCGUCAGGGUAUUCAAGAUAAACAGUUGGCCCUGAGGUGGUGAUAUGUGACUUAACAGUUUCGUCAUAAUGUGUAAAUGAAGGCUAACUACAAAUUCUUGCAAAGAGCCUGUCGUAAAAAACCUGUUGUGAGAUCAAGCGAUUACAGGAUCUCAAAAGCCUUCCUUUACAUAUGGUGCGGGAAAGUUAUGUCAUCUAACAAGAAACAAGAGUCCAUCUGAGUUUCUGUUUAGCCAGUUGUCUUGUGGGGGUGAGACUCUAAAAACAGUAUAAAAGAUGUGUCCAAAGUACAUUCUGGAGUUCUGUUUUGGGGAACAGACCUCUGUGUACAGGGGUCCACCUCUGAACAGAAACUCUGCAGGCCCAGAGACUGACGUGCUGUCCAAGGACUGGAUGAAACAUGCACUGCUUUUAAGAUUUUUUAUUGAGCAGAUUGGGACACCUACUGAUAACAAGGUUUUCAAAAGGCUUUAUCCUAGUCACAUGGGUAAUAAUACAUGCUGGUGAUUGGCUUCCUCUCUAAUUUCACUUGAUUCUGAUCUGGUGUAUGUGAUUGGAUGGAAUAUAAUUCUCCUGCGCAGAGGAGAGCAGUAUUUUCACUUUUCAAGCACAUUACAGAAAGCAAAAGAAUCAGAACUGUUAGAGUCCUUGUUUUAUACAUAAGUCUCUCAAUGUAACUAUAGCAAGGAUUCAAAUUACAUGUCAACAAUAAUAUUGAAAUUAACAAAAAUAGAAUAAAAUUUAAACCGUC